AGAGAGGGGAGGUGGGUAGGGAGAGAGGCCACACCCGAGUUGGUUAAGAAGACUUAAAUAAGAUAAAAGGUGAAAGCAGUACAUAGAUGUUCAAACUUCGAGAAGGAUUGAAGUUCGCAUUUAUUUCCUUGUUGAUGACCUUUGAACCUCUGCCCAGUACAUAGAUGCUCAAACUUUGAGAAGGAUUGAAGUUCGCAUUUAUUUCCUUGUUGAUGAC
rnacentral:lncRNA from 1 species